rnacentral:rRNA from 1 species
UACGUAGGGUGCAAGCGUUGUCCGGAAUUAUUGGGCGUAAAGAGCUCGUAGGCGGUCUGUCGCGUCGGCUGUGAAAUCCCGAGGCUCAACCUCGGGUCUGCAGUCGAUACGGGCAAACUAGAGUAUUGCAGGGGAGACUGGAAUUCCUGGUGUAGCGGUGAAAUGCGCAGAUAUCAGGAGGAAUACCGAUGGCGAAGGCGGGUCUCUAGGCCGACACUGACGCUGAGGAGCGAAAGCGUGGGGAGCGAACAGG